UCCGGUGACGAUUGCGGAGAGGCCACACCUGUUCCCAUGCCGAACACAGUCGUUAAGCUCUCCAGCGCCGAUGGUAGUUGGAUGUACGUCCCGUGAGAGUAGGACGUCGCCGGGC
rnacentral:rRNA from 1 species